rnacentral:rRNA from 1 species
UACAGAGGGGGCAAGCGUUGUUCGGAAUUACUGGGCGUAAAGGGCGCGUAGGCGGCCUGUUAAGUCGAACGUGAAAUCCCCGGGCUCAACCCGGGAACUGCGUCCGAUACUGGCUGGCUUGAAUCCGGGAGAGGGAUGCGGAAUUCCAGGUGUAGCGGUGAAAUGCGUAGAUAUCUGGAGGAACACCGGUGGCGAAGGCGGCAUCCUGGACCGGUAUUGACGCUGAGGCGCGAAAGCCAGGGGAGCAAAUGGG